AACACCCGAAGCCAGUGGCCUGUCAUGGGAGCUGUCGAAGGUGGGAUCGGCGAUUGGGACGAAGUCGUAACAAGGUAGCCGUACCGGAAGGUGCGGCUGGAUCACCUCCUUU
rnacentral:rRNA from 1 species